rnacentral:rRNA from 1 species
ACAUCGAAGGUCUUUUGACGCAAGUUGCGCCCGAUGCCAUUAGGUUGAGGGCACGUCUGCCUGGGUGUCACAUAUCGAAGCCUCCUUGACUAUUGUGCAGGGUGGAUGUUGGCCUCCCGUGAGCUCCUUCGUCUCAUGGUUGGUUGAAAAUUGAGACCUUGGUAGGGUGUGCCAUGAUAGAUGGUGGUUGUGUGACCCACGAGACCAAUCAUGCGCUUCCCUAUUGAAUUUGGCCUCUUUUUACCCAUAUGCGUUUCUAAACGCUCGUGAUGAGACCCCAGGUCAGGCGGGACUACCCGCUGAAUUUAAGCAUAUCAAUAAGCGGAGGAAAAGAAACUAACAAGGAUUCCCUUAGUAACGGCGAGCGAACCGGGAUAAGCCCACCAUGAGAAUCGGUCGCCCUCGGCAAUCGAAUUGUAUCUGAAAAAAACCCGUCAAAAGG